GGGCCAGUAGAUCAGCCCGGUAUGAUCGCUGCGCUUGCAACGCAGAGGUCGCGGGAUCGAAGCCCGCCUGGUCCACCA
rnacentral:tRNA from 1 species